rnacentral:rRNA from 1 species
UACGGAGGGAGCUAGCGUUGUUCGGAAUUACUGGGCGUAAAGCGCGCGUAGGCGGCUUUGUAAGUUAGAGGUGAAAGCCCGGAGCUCAACUCCGGAACUGCCUUUAAAACUGCAUCGCUUGAAUCCAGGAGAGGUGAGUGGAAUUCCGAGUGUAGAGGUGAAAUUCGUAGAUAUUCGGAAGAACACCAGUGGCGAAGGGCGGCUCA